AUGAACGCUAGCGACAGGCUUAACACAUGCAAGUCGAGGGGCAGCGGGGGUAGCGAUACCCGCCGGCGACCGGCGCACGGGUGAGUAACGCGUAUGCAACUUGCCUAUCAGAGGGGGAUAACCCGGCGAAAGUCGGACUAAUACCGCAUGAAGCAGGGGCCCCGCAUGGGGAUAUUUGCUAAAGAUUCAUCGCUGAUAGAUAGGCAUGCGUUCCAUUAGGCAGUUGGCGGGGUAACGGCCCACCAAACCGACGAUGGAUAGGGGUUCUGAGAGGAAGGUCCCCCACAUUGGUACUGAGACACGGACCAAACUCCUACAGGAGGCAGCAGUGAGGAAUAUUGGUCAAUGGGCGUAAGCCUGAACCAGCCAAGUCGCGUGAGGGAUGAAGGUUCUAUGGAUCGUAAACCUCUUUUAUAAGGGAAUAAAGUGCGGGACGUGUCCCGUUUUGUAUGUACCUUAUGAAUAAGGAUCGGCUAACUCCGUGCCAGCAGCCGCGGUAAUACGGAGGAUCCGAGCGUUAUCCGGAUUUAUUGGGUUUAAAGGGUGCGUAGGCGGCCUUUUAAGUCAGCGGUGAAAGUCUGUGGCUCAACCAUAGAAUUGCCGUUGAAACUGGGGGGCUUGAGUAUGUUUGAGGCAGGCGGAAUGCGUGGUGUAGCGGUGAAAUGCAUAGAUAUCACGCAGAACCCCGAUUGCGAAGGCAGCCUGCCAAGCCAUUACUGACGCUGAUGCACGAAAGCGUGGGGAUCAAACAGGAUUAGAUACCCUGGUAGUCCACGCAGUAAACGAUGAUCACUAGCUGUUUGCGAUACACUGUAAGCGGCACAGCGAAAGCGUUAAGUGAUCCACCUGGGGAGUACGCCGGCAACGGUGAAACUCAAAGGAAUUGACGGGGGCCCGCACAAGCGGAGGAACAUGUGGUUUAAUUCGAUGAUACGCGAGGAACCUUACCCGGGUUUGAACGCAUUCGGACCGAGGUGGAAACACCUUUUCUAGCAAUAGCCGUUUGCGAGGUGCUGCAUGGUUGUCGUCAGCUCGUGCCGUGAGGUGUCGGCUUAAGUGCCAUAACGAGCGCAACCCUUGCCACUAGUUACUAACAGGUAAAGCUGAGGACUCUGGUGGGACUGCCAGCGUAAGCUGCGAGGAAGGCGGGGAUGACGUCAAAUCAGCACGGCCCUUACAUCCGGGGCGACACACGUGUUACAAUGGCGUGGACAAAGGGAGGCCACCUGGCGACAGGGAGCGAAUCCCCAAACCACGUCUCAGUUCGGAUCGGAGUCUGCAACCCGACUCCGUGAAGCUGGAUUCGCUAGUAAUCGCGCAUCAGCCAUGGCGCGGUGAAUACGUUCCCGGGCCUUGUACACACCGCCCGUCAAGCCAUGGGAGCCGGGGGUACCUGAAGUCCGUAACCGCGAGGAUCGGCCUAGGGUAAAACUGGUGACUGGGGCU
rnacentral:rRNA from 1 species